rnacentral:rRNA from 7 species
CAACUCUCAACAACGGAUAUCUUGGCUCCCGUAACGAUGAAGAACGCAGCGAAAUGCGAUACGUAGUGUGAAUUGCAGAAUUCCGUGAACCAUCGAAUCUUUGAACGCAAAUUGCGCUCGAGGCUUCGGCCAAGAGCAUGUCUGCCUCAGCGUC